rnacentral:rRNA from 1 species
AAGCUGAGUCUUAUCAGUCUGAGUAGGUCUGAUUUUAUCUAAUAUUAGAAGCUAAACAGGUUUAAGCCUGGCUAGUACUUAGAUGGAAGAUCACUGGAGAAUAUUCUCAGGGCUUGCUGCUUC